UACGAAGGGGGCUAGCGUUGCUCGGAAUCACUGGGCGUAAAGCGCACGUAGGCGGCUUCUUAAGUCAGGGGUGAAAUCCUGGAGCUCAACUCCAGAACUGCCUUUGAUACUGGGGAGCUCGAGUCCGGAAGAGGUGAGUGGAACUCCGAGUGUAGAGGUGAAAUUCGUAGAUAUUCGGAAGAACACCAGUGGCGAAGGCGGCUCACUGGUCCGGUACUGACGCUGAGGCGCGAAAGCGUGGGGAGCAAACAGG
rnacentral:rRNA from 1 species